CUCGUCUGAUUUUCUUUUUAUAAAACACAAUUAAACUUUAAACAUAUACACAUAAUGUUUAUAAAUAUAAUGUAGUGCAACAUAUAUAUGUAUAAUAUAGCUAAAUACCAAGUGCAAUCCCUCGAAAGAUAACUUCAAACGGCAAUUUAAUUUACGUAAAAAAAGAGACAAAAAAAACGGCGCGUGUGAAAUUUUUUCAAGCAAAGGAGAGAAGUUGGAGCAACAAAAAAAGAAGAGAGAAAAAAUACAACAACACACAAAUGUUGUUUCAGCAAUGAAAAUGUUUAGCCAAAAAACGAGAAGCAACAAAAACAGCGGCUUUAAGGCUGCUGGACAGGUUUCCCACGGCUAAAAAUUAAAAAAAGGAGCAACACGAAGAAGAAGAAGCAGCAGCAAUGCGUGAAACGCGAAAGCAAAGUGAAAUUCAAGACAACAACAACAAAUACAAAAGCGUAGCGGCUAA